AAAACCGUUACUGGGUGGGUCUGGGGGAAUUCCGAGACACUGGCCGGGCGGUGGCGUGGUGAGCCAAGCGGAGACCCGCGUGGGAGUAAGGAAGAGGGCGAGGCAGGUAUCCCUGUGGUGCAAGAACCCAUGGAACAGAGGCAAGAAGGAAAGGACUCUUGGGGACAGAUGUAACUGCUCUUUGCUGCACUGUUGUUUUGGUGAUCCCAAUCCUCACACCUUCAGAGGACUCUGCAUCUCAAAAGUCUUCAAGCAAUCUCUGAAACCUUUGUCAUCCCCGAAUGCUUCAAUCCUCCUGUCCCCCUCUCCUGAAUAUACAUCCUGGGCUUCAACCUACUUACUAAGUCUUCAAUGGAUCAGUAGAAACUAAAUCUUGACCUCUACUGUAAAAGUGUGGCGUAAUGAGAGGCAUGGAAAGAAGAGUGUAUCCGACAGGCUGCCAACACCCAAAUGGAAGAGAGGAGGGAAACAUAAAGAAGGGCUAAGGAAAGACAUCUGACUUCCAGCAGCCGCCAGAAGCCACUGAAGUUUUGAAAAGUCAAGUUUUGUCAAACCCAAGUGAAUGCUGACAUGUAUGUGGUACAGAAAUAAAGGAGAAAGCUAAACAACAGAUUUGUUUAUACCCAUUUCUAUACUCCUCACACACAUACUUCACUACGUGGGCUGUUUCACUAUGAUGUGCAGACCCUUUAGAUAUGAGUCAAUGAAUGGAAGAAUGAUGGGGAAAAUGAUAAAGAGCCAGGCAAGUGCGUCCACCCC
rnacentral:lncRNA from 1 species